GUGCCAGCAGCCGCGGUAAUACGUAGGGUGCAAGCGUUAAUCGGAAUUACUGGGCGUAAAGCGUGCGCAGGCGGUCCCGCUAAGACCCGAUGUGAAAUCCCCGGGCUUAACCUGGGAACUGCAUUGGUGACUGGCGGGCUGGAGUAUGGCAGAGGGGGGUAGAAUUCCACGUGUAGCAGUGAAAUGCGUAGAGAUGUGGAGGAAUACCGAUGGCGAAGGCAGCCCCCUGGGCCAAUACUGACGCUCAUGCACGAAAGCGUGGGGAGCAAACAGGAUUAGAUACCCUGGUAGUCC
rnacentral:rRNA from 1 species